rnacentral:rRNA from 1 species
UACCGUCAUUAUCUUCACCGGCGAAAGAGUUUUACAACCCUAAGGCCUUCUUCACUCACGCGGCAUGGCUGGAUCAGGCUUGCGCCCAUUGUCCAAGAUUCCCCACUGCUGCCUCC